AAUAUUGGACAAUGGGCGAAAGCCUGAUCCAGCCAUGCCGCGUGGGUGAAGAAGGUCUGCGGAUUGUAAAGCACUUUAAGUUGGGCGGAAGGGCAGUAAGCUAAUACCCUGCAAUUUUGACGUUACCAACAGAAUAAGCACCGGCUAACUUCGUGCCAGCAGCCGCGGUAAUACGAAGGGUGCAAGCGUUAAUCGGAAGUACUGGGCGUAAAGCGCGCGUAGGUGGUUCGUUAAGUUGGAAGUGAAAGCCCCGGGCUUAACAUGGGAAUUGCUUUCAAAACUGACGAGCUAGAGUACGGUAGAGGGUAGUGGAAGUUCCUGUGUAGCGGUGAAAUGAGUAGAUAUAGGAAGGAACAUCAGUGGCGAAGGCGACUACCUGGACUGAUACUGACACUGAGGUGCGAAAGCGUGGGGAGCAAACAGG
rnacentral:rRNA from 1 species